rnacentral:rRNA from 1 species
GACGAACGCUGGCGGCGUGCUUAACACAUGCAAGUCGAACGGACAGGCCCUGCUUUUGUGGGGUGCUCGAGUGGCGAACGGGUGAGUAACACGUGAGUAACCUGCCCUUGACUUUGGGAUAACUUCAGGAAACUGGGGCUAAUACCGGAUAGGAGCUCCUGCUGCAUGGUGGGGGUUGGAAAGUUUCGGCGGUUGGGGAUGGACUCGCGGCUUAUCAGCUUGUUGGUGGGGUAGUGGCUUACCAAGGCUUUGACGGGUAGCCGGCCUGAGAGGGUGACCGGCCACAUGGGGACUGAGAUACGGACCAGACUCCUACGGGAGGCAGCAGUGGGGAAUAUUGCACAAUGGGCGGAAGCCUGAUGCAGCAACGCCGCGUGCGGGAUGACGGCCUUCGGGUUGUAAACCGCUUUCGCCUGUGACGAAGCGUGAGUGACGGUAAUGGGUAAAGAAGCACCGGCUAACUACGUG